GACGAACGCUGGCGGCGUGCUUAACACAUGCAAGUCGAGCGGAAAGGCCCUGCUUUUGUUGGGUGCUCGAUUGGCGAACGGGUGAGUAACACGUGAGUAACCUGCCCUUGACUUUGGGAUAACUUCAGGAAACUGGGGCUAAUACCGGAUAGGAGCUCCUGCUGCAUGGUGGGGGUUGGAAAGUUUCGGCGGUUGGGGAUGGACUCGCGGCUUAUCAGCUUGUUGGUGGGGUAGUGGCUUACCAAGGCUUUGACGGGUAGCCGGCCUGAGAGGGUGACCGGCCACAUGGGGACUGAGGUAGGGCCCAGACUCCUACGGGAGGCAGCAGUGGGGAAUAUUGCACAAUGGGCGGAAGUCUGAUGCAGCAACGCCGCGUGCGGGAUGCCGGCCUUCGGGUUGUAAACCGCUUUCGCCUGUGACGAAGCGUGAGUGACGGUAAUGGGUAAAGAAGCACCGGCUAACUACGUG
rnacentral:rRNA from 1 species